AUUGAACGCUGGCGGCAGGCUUAACACAUGCAAGUCGAGCGGAGACUUCGGUCUUAGCGGCGAACGGGUGAGGAAUGCCUGGGAAUCUGCCUGUUAGUGGGGGAUAACGUUCCGAAAGGAACGCUAAUACCGCAUACGUCCUACGGGAGAAAGCAGGGGACCUUCGGGCCUUGCGCUAACAGAUGAGCCCAGGUCGGAUUAGCUAGUUGGUGGGGUAAAGGCUCACCAAGGCGACGAUCCGUAGCUGGUCUGAGAGGAUGAUCAGCCACACUGGAACUGAGACACGGUCCAGACUCCUACGGGAGGCAGCAGUGGGGAAUAUUGGACAAUGGGGGAAACCCUGAUCCAGCCAUGCCGCGUGUGUGAAGAAGGCCUUCGGGUUGUAAAGCACUUUAAGCGGGAGGAAGGCCUUGAGGAUAAUACCCUUGAGGAUUGACGUUACCCGCAGAAUAAGCACCGGCUAACUCUGUG
rnacentral:rRNA from 1 species